rnacentral:tRNA from 1 species
GCCCGGUUAGCUCAGUCGGUAGAGCAUUCGGCUUUUAACCGAAAUGUCGGGGUUCGAGCCCCCCAUUGGGCG